rnacentral:lncRNA from 1 species
AUGUUUCUGAAACCCUCCUCUCUCAAAUUCAUCUUUAUUAUAAUGCAAAUAUGGUAUCUUUUAUUUUUACUCCAGGCUGAAAAGGUGUGUAAUGAAAAUCAAAUACAUACAAGCCAUAAAGAAAACAAAUCUACUCAAACAACAUUAGGUGUUUGUAAUAACGUUGCAGAAGAAGAAAAUGGAGUAACAAACAUUCCACCUUCUUCUUUUGGUUCUGGUGAAAUGCAAACAGAACAAAGCAAAGGUGAUACAAACAGAGCAGAUGAGAAUUCAGUUUGCAGUGAAGGUUAUCUUGAUCAUUGUGUAAAUGAAGAUAAUAAAGUUUGUCCUUUGAAGACAAAACAAAAGGAGCUUUCUGUAGGCAUCCCCUUAUAUACAAUCGGUGUCAUUACUCCAGAACCAGCAGAUGGGUCAUGUAUUGCUGAAGGUGAAGAAACUACAACUGAAAGAAAAGCAGAUGAAAUUGUUUUUGAUAAAAUAGAAGUCAGGGGAGACAACUCAGAAAAUUACUGUUCCUCAGCAGAAUUCCCAGUGGAAGAUUGUAAAAUGCUCUUAGAAAGUACUGAAGAUUUAGGUAAUUCUAACCAAAAUACAUAUUUUUCAACAAAACCAAACAAACAUCUAGAUGGAAGUAUUAGAAAUAAAUUUGCUUCUGAAAAGACUGAAAUUAUCAACUGUACAAUCCAUGAGGAAGCUUCCUCUGCAAGUGAAGAUUGUGGCAAAAAGGAUAGUGAGCAUAAUACAAAUGCCCACAUGAACUCUGAAAGUUAUUCUGUGUAUGAUUCUGUGAAUCAUACAAACUUCCAUCCUGAUGGCUUAGAUGAGUGCAGUGAAGUUUGUAAAGCAAAGCAAAUAUCACCAAGUCACAAAAACUGUGAGUGCUGUAAGAAAAUCAGUUCAUUCUACACACAAGAGGAUACACCACCUUUGCAUGCUUCUCUGAACAACCAAUUAGGUAAAAAUUCUCAUAUUAACAAUGAAGAAAACUUGAGGAACCGCAAUUUAAAUGCUGAAAACUCAUUUAAAGAUGUAAAUGAAAUCGCAGAAAAAUAUUCUGACAAAGACAGUUCCAAACUGAAAGAAGAGAGUAUAAACAAGGUCUUCCUCUUAAACAGCGAAAAUGUACAUGAAUCUCAGACUGUAGAUGUGAGCAUUCAGCAAGUUAACAGAGAUGAAGAAAGGGAAUUCCAUACAGUAGAUGACCAAUUUAUAAUAAGUGGUAAUUCAGUUAAUAUAUCGUUAAAAGAAAGGCAGGAGUCAUUAAAAGGUAAAUUUACAGAAGAAAUUGUUUCAGAAGUAAAUAGCUUAGACAGAUCAUGUUCUUUACCCAUAAAAACAACUGAACAUUCAGUACAGAGAAAUGCAAUGCCUGCCCUUGACUUUGCAAUUAUAAAUAAAAUAACCACGAAAACAGUGUGUCAAGAUGAAAUUCAAAGUGUAUGUGCUUCAACUGUCAAACCAGCUUUCUCAAUUAAAGUAAAACCACUUUUACAAGAAUUCAAAAAUAGCCAGAAUUCAAUGGAAAUUGGUCAAAUUGUGAACAUGCAUGCUUCUCUAAAAGAAGAACCAUUAGGUUCUACCUACAGAAACAGAGUUGCUGACACUUUGAAUACCGGAAGUAUCAAUCUAGGCCCCAAGAGAAAUCACAGCGAAGAAUGGAAUGCAACAGCAAAGCCUUUUUAUGAUCCUUCUUUUCCCAGAGAACACGUAAGUCAAUUAAAAAUAUUGCAGAGCAGACCUUAG